rnacentral:rRNA from 1 species
GCGUAUUGGAAAGCUUCGGCCGGAAGAUGCGUUAUCUAGUGGCGGACGGGUGAGUAACACGUGGGUAACCUGCCUUAUGGAGGGGGAUAACAGAGAGAAAUCACUGCUAAUACCGCAUAAGCACACAGUACCGCAUGGUACAGGGUGAAAAGAUUUAUCGCCAUAAGAUGGACCCGCGUCUGAUUAGCCAGUUGGCAGGGUAAAAGCCUACCAAAGCAACGAUCAGUAGCCGAUCUGAGAGGAUGACCGGCCACAUUGGGACUGAGACACGGCCCAAACUCCUACGGGAGGCAGCAGUGGGGAAUAUUGCACAAUGGGGGAAACCCUGAUGCAGCGACGCCGCGUGAGUGAAGAAGUAUUUCGGUAUGUAAAGCUCUAUCAGCAGGGAAGAUAAUGACAGUACCUGACUAAGAAGCCCCGGCUAACUACGUGCCAGCAGCCGCGGUAAUACGUAGGGGGCAAGCGUUAUCCGGAUUUACUGGGUGUAAAGGGAGCGUAGACGGAAUGGCAAGUCUGAAGUGAAAUACCCGGGCUCAACCUGGGAACUGCUUUGGAAACUGUUGUUCUAGAGUGUUGGAGAGGUAAGUGGAAUUCCUGGUGUAGCGGUGAAAUGCGUAGAUAUCAGGAAGAACACCGGAGGCGAAGGCGGCUUACUGGACAAUAACUGACGUUGAGGCUCGAAAGCGUGGGGAUCAAACAGGAUUAG